AUUGAACGCUGGCGGCAUGCUUUACACAUGCAAGUCGAACGGGCUGGGGGCGAACUCCAGUCAGUGGCGAACGGGUGAGUAAUACAUCGGAACGUACCUCGUAGUGGGGAGUAACUCGCGAAAGCCGUGCUAAUACCGCAUAUGCUCUACGGAGGAAAGCAGGGACCGUACAGGCCUUGUGCUAUGGGAGCGGCCGAUGUCCGAUUAGCUAGUUGGUGAGGAAU
rnacentral:rRNA from 1 species